rnacentral:rRNA from 1 species
CAGUCGCCACGGGAAUACGUAGGGUGCGAGCGUUGUCCGGAUUUAUUGGGCGUAAAGGGCUCGUAGGUGGUUGAUCGCGUCGGAAGUGUAAUCUUGGGGCUUAACCCUGAGCGUGCUUUCGAUACGGGUUGACUUGAGGAAGGUAGGGGAGAAUGGAAUUCCUGGUGGAGCGGCGGAAUGCGCAGAUAUCAGGAGGAACACCAGUGGCGAAGGCGGUUCUCUGGGCCUUUCCUGACGCUGAGGAGCGAAAGCGUGGGGAGCGAACAGGCUUAGAUACCCCGGUAGUCCCUGUCUCUUAUAC